rnacentral:rRNA from 1 species
GACGAACGCUGGCGGCGCGCUUAACACAUGCAAGUCGAGCGAUAACCAUGGCUUCGGCCAUGGGGAGAGCGGCGAACGGGUGAGUAACACGUGAGUAAUCUGCCCUCGACACUGGGAUAGCCCGGGGAAACCCGGAUUAAUACCGGAUAGCCUCUCGAGCUUUCGGGCUCGUGAGAAAAGAUGGCUUCGGCUUUCGGUUGAGGAGGAGCUUGCGGCGGAUUAGCUUGUUGGUGAGGAACGGCCCACCAAGGCGACGAUCCGUAGCUGGUCUGAGAGGACGAUCAGCCACACUGGGACUGAGACACGGCCCAGACUCCUACGGGAGGCAGCAGUGGGGAAGUCUUGCGCAAUGGGCGAAAGCCUGACGCAGCGACGCCGCGUGAGGGAAGAA